AACGAACGUUAGCGGCGCGCUUAACACAUGCAAGUCGAGGGCACUAUGGGGGCAACUCUGUAGUGACCGGCGAACGGGUGCGUAACACGUGAGCGACCUUGCCUCGUGGUGGGGGAUAGCCGGCCCAACGGCCGGGUAAUACCGCAUAUGGUAGUUCUUUCGCAUGGGAGAACUAGCAAAGCCCUGGAGCAAUCCAGUGGCGCCACAGGGGGGC
rnacentral:rRNA from 1 species